UACAUAGGGGGCAAGCGUUGUCCGGAUUUAUUGGGCGUAAAGAGCGUGUAGGCGGCCAAGCAGGUCCGCUGUGAAAACUCGAGGCUCAACCUCGAGACGUCGGUGGAAACCGUUUGGCUAGAGUCCGGAAGAGGAGAGUGGAAUUCCCGGUGUAGCGGUGAAAUGCGCAGAUAUCGGGAAGAACACCCGUGGCGAAGGCGGCUCUCUGGGACGGUACUGACGCUGAGACGCGAAAGCGUGGGGAGCGAACAGG
rnacentral:rRNA from 1 species